rnacentral:rRNA from 1 species
UGGGGAAUCUUGGACAAUGGGGGAAACCCUGAUCCAGCGAUGCCGCGUGAGUGAUGAAGGCCUUCGGGUUGUAAAACUCUUUCGACGGGGACGAUAAUGACGGUACCCGUAGAAGAAGCUCCGGCUAACUUCGUGCCAGCAGCCGCGGUAAUACGAAGGGGGCUAGCGUUGUUCGGAAUUACUGGGCGUAAAGCGCGCGCAGGCGGCCAUUCAAGUCAGGGGUGAAAGCCCAGAGCUCAACUCUGGAACUGCCUUUGAAACUGUAUGGCUUGAGUAUGAGAGAGGUGAGUGGAAUUCCCAGUGUAGAGGUGAAAUUCGUAGAUAUUGGGAAGAACACCGGUGGCGAAGGCGGCUCACUGGCUCAUUACUGACGCUCAGGCGCGACAGCGUGGGGAUCAAACA